GCUGCUUAAAUGAGUGAAAAAAUAGUAAAAACAAGCCAGAAAUCUACUUAAAGCCAUUUUUGUGCUCUGGAGAAUGUAUUUUUGUUUUUCCGACCUGUCCUUGCCUUGGUGACGUUGUGAACAUAACCAAACGGGACUUGGCCAUUAAGGUUUGGAUCGGGAAAUGCCGAGCUAGAAUCGGAGUUUGAUUCGCUGAGCGAGAAACAAGAUGGCGAGCCACCCACGGACCCAUUGAACUGUACCAAGCAGGAAAAGGAAAACGCCCCCUGCUGGACGUUGAGCUCUUUCGCUGA